rnacentral:rRNA from 1 species
GGGGGAUAUUGCACAAUGGAGGAAACUCUGAUGCAGCGACGCCGCGUGAGUGAAGAAGUAUUUCGGUAUGUAAAGCUCUAUCAGCAGGGAAGAAAGACCUCGCAAGAGGGGAUGACGGUACCUGAAUAAGAAGCCCCGGCUAACUACGUGCCAGCAGCCGCGGUAAUACGUAGGGGGCAAGCGUUAUCCGGAUUUACUGGGUGUAAAGGGAGCGCAGACGGAAUGACAAGUCUGGAGUGAAAGCCCGCGGCUCAACCGCGGGACUGCUUUGGAAACUGCCAUUCUGGAGUGUUGGAAGGGUAAGUGGAAUUCCUGGUGUAGCGGUGAAAUGCGUAGAUAUCAGGAGGAACACCGGUGGCGAAGGCGACUUACUGGACAAUAACUGACGUUGAGGCUCGAGAGCGUGGGUAGCAAAC